AAGGCACCGCCGAGCCGCUGCUCAGGGACACACCUCGCGGCGGAGCGGCCGCCCGGCCCGGCCCCGCGUACCUGCCCGGCCGCCCGGGAGCGGCCGUGCCGAGCGGCGGGGGCGGUCGCGGGCAGUCGGGCCGAUGGGCGGCCGGUAGGACGCGGGGAGCGGGCGGGGAGACUGCGCCCUCACCUCUAGGCACAUCUCUUUAAUAGCUCCGGGGCUCAUCACUAGGAAGGGAGAAGCUGGCACCAAACCCAACCCAGUCCUGCCGUAAAUUAGAAACUUGGGCUCUCCCCACAUACCAGCAUAGGUUUUCGUCAGAAACGCAUUCUCAGUUUGUUCUAGUAUUUUAGGAUGAACUCCCCAGGAAAGAGAUUAAUGUCUUUUGUUACCAACAUGUUGCAAGCCACAGUAAGCCACGCUUUACUGUCCUUUGUCCAUCCGACACUUCCACCGUGGGAAACCCUGUUAGCUGUAACCUAGAGCUGUGGGGUAAGAGCUCAGAGGUGCUCUUAGGCUAUCUAGUGCCACUGCUUUAAAGCCGUGCUUUUUAUCUGUGCUGCUCUGUCAAAGGCUAAGUGUGACAGAUAGCUCCAGUAACACCAUGUCUAUCCAUUCUUCGAGAAAGCUUCAGUGACAUAAUUUGUUUCAGAAAAAUAACUUGUUUGGUUUUAUUUUGUUAUUUAGGUAUAUCUAAUACAGGCUUUGCAUCUCCACAAUAAUUACUUCAAUUACAGCAUGACAAAUGUAAACAAUGUAUUCAUAUCACAUAGUUGAAGUAAAGUAGGUGAAAACAGAAGAGCCAGCCUCAUUCAAAGCAAAUGUCCCUAGGCUGGUAUCUUCUGUCUGACAAUGGCCAAUAGUAGAGGUACAGGUAAGAGGUAUAAAAACAUAAAAAACACCAUUAAGUGGCCUUUUCUUUCUGUUUUCAGAUCCUGAAGUGCAGAGGAAAAGCUGUCAGGUGAAAUCCACUGCAACCCUAGCAGCCACAAAUGUACCACUUCUCUAUGAAUUUGUCAAAUAGCUUUUUGAUCUGUUGGUACACCUGGCCUCCAGGAGUGGUGGGAAGGUCUUAAAUUUGCACAAAGGCUAGACAGGAACUUUUUCUCACUGGUUUUAAAUCCAGUGCUUAAUAAUUUUACAGGAUAUUGAAUUUUUGUAAUCUAAGAAAUAGUGAAUGAUCAUGCCCUAUUUGUUUCUACCAUACCAGUUUAUAGACCUCUCUCACAUGAUUUCAGAACCAUCCUUUUUCCUGAUCUGUGGAGCUUUGGUCUUUUACUUGUUUCCAAACCCCUUAGAGCUAGCAUUGCUCAAAGGAGCAGUACUUCCAGUCCCUGUUGCUUUUCCCUGUCCUUUGGCCACAUCCGUUUCUAGUGCUAGCAUGCUGCAAACUCUAUCAGAAUAAUCCAGCAAAAAUGAUUAAUUUUGUUUCAGAUCAGUUCCCCCACUGAGCUGCUGAACAGCUGCACAAACACCAAAAGGGAGAGGCUUUCAGGGGUGACAGCGAGUAGCUGCAGGCAAAGGAGCUUGGGCCUAAUUUCAUCAGCAGAGCUGGCCAAAAUGGUUUACAAAGCUACAGCUGUCAGGCAGAGAUUUCCUAGGACUGGCUGCCACUUUCCUCCCUCUGUCGUGUAUCCCCCUGCCCACAUCCACAGAUGUGGCUGUGCCAUUUCAGCUCAGUCACCUGGCAGGAAACUCUUCUGUUUUUUAGAGUGUGUGUGUGUGUGUGUGUCAGUGUGUGUGUGAGUGUGAGAGUGUGUGUGUGUGUUUUACCAGGUUACUGUGCUGAACCAGCUCAGUGACAGCAUGAAGAGGUGUGGAGUGGGAUUACAGCAGUAAAUCCAUAGUCUGCUCUGGGAUUGCAGCCUGAGCCCCUCAAACAGAAGCCAUUCCCCACCUUUUUAUCCUGCCCUGCAUGUUUUCUAUUUAUACUUCUUUUCAGACAAUGUGGACAAAACUACAUGCAAUAUUCAAGAUACAAUAUUAUAGCAACAGUGUCCUGCUUCCUUCUUACUUCUGGUUUUUUUCUUACUAUAUUCAAACAUUGCAUGAGUCACAUCUUGACCUGUUCUCUCCCCAGAGCCAUGAACGAGAGGUCUGAGAUCUCUUUCCUGAGUGGAAAGGCCUUUCCUGAGUGCAGAUUUACCAGUGAAUACAGAAGGUGAAUGAGGUUUCCUUUCAUUAGAGGCUAAAAUGGUGACUGAAAAUGUCUUUAGGCACUAGCAAAACCAAAUUGCUUACCUGGACAGUGGCACUCCUUCUUCAGCAUGCAGACAGCGAGCAAACUCCUGGCAGAACCAGCCACUGCCAUCCUCAGGUGAGCUCCCAGACUGAAUGGCACCAACCAACAGCACAGACCUCCUGCCAGAGCCUACAGGACAUCUAGCUCCUGGUUUAUUAUAUGCCUCUGCAGGACACCAAAGGGUUGAGGUGGGGGUGCAGGACCAAAGAGUCUGUUUUGUGUGAAUCUGAGUCACCACUAAGCACCUGGAGGCAGGGAGUCCAGUGAGGCUGUUGAUUUAUGGUGACAUGAUGUUGUGGAGAAGAUCUUCAAUAUAUGACUCUGCUUUUUACUUCUUACUCCCUUUUUAAAAAAAUAGCUUUGCUUUUCUCCGUUUUGAAACAACCUCUGUACCUCUGGGAUACAAGCAUUAGAUUGUGGACUUACCUUCAUUGUGGAGGAACACCAGUUCCUUUUAUCUCACUCCUGCCUUCACAUGUCUGUUAUCCAGUUGAGGAUAAUAAAUUCAGUUCUAAUAGAUUUCUUGCUUGAUGAUUAAGCACCUGUUGUGCCAUCACUAAAUGUCUCUCGAGCGUCUCCUUAUGUUGCCAUUUAAAAAAAGAAUUUUGUAGAGGUUGAAAGAUACCUUAAUUUUCAACACGUGUGACAAGGCAAAGAAGGGAGCUCACAAACUGGAACUACUGUGGGCAGACAGACCAUAAAUAACUUUAGAAUGCCCCUAGCAGGUAACUUAUAUAAAAAAACUAGAAUCCCAGAUAUCCUACUGUCUUCACACACACACACACACACACACACACACACACACACACACACACACGCAUCUUGUUUGUAUGGAAAAAUCACAUAAAAAUUCCUCACUGAAACAGUGUCAUUUUGAAGAUCUGAGGAUUUGUAAUUUUGUUUCACCCAAAGGUGAAAAAGCUCCUGUAGCAGUGUGUGCAGCUUGACCAGGUGGGCUUCAGUUAAUUAGACAAAGUAUGGGUUCCCACACUAAAAAUUUAAGAUUUCUUUUUGUCAUCAGCAGGAAUUGAACCCAGACUUCAAGACAGGAACCUUUCAUGGUACCAAUGCAAUCCCUGUUGCUUGGGAAACCCAUUUGGUAGAUCCAUCUGGACCUUCUAAUGUGCCACUGCUGCAGAUGAGCUGGGGCUUUUUGCACAGCCUGCACUUUCCUUUUUAAAAACAGAGUUUUGGACACAUCAGCUUCAUUUGAUGCCUGGCUGUUAAGUGAGUCAAAAUAAAUUAAAAUUGUAAAGUAUUUGUGAUGAUGAGAAGUGAAAGUGGGAGGGUAACAAAAAUGGGAUGCAAGCCUUCUAAGAACAUUUCCACGCACUCAGUGUAAUGCUGGAUAGUCAUGCAGCUCCACUGAAAGAUGUUACUGAUGCAUAUGUGAAAUCUUAUUCCAAGACACACACUGAUGUAGAAUGAAAGUGGUGAUGAAAAAGAAUGUCAGAAGGAUGAGAAACCGCAACGAAAAGCAAUUAGAAGCCAUGCUUGGAUUCAGGCUAUUUUCAUAUUCAGGGAUAAAUACAAAGAACUACUUUCUCCUCUUCCAAAUAUAAGUCCUUCAUGGAGCCACACAAACAAGUGCCUUUGUUUAGAUCAGGCCAAUAUUUUUGUCUGAGAAUGUGAAAUUUCAUCCACAGGUCUUUAAUAAUGUAAAUGGCAUAAAAUUCCUCUUCUCUGGUGUGCUCAACUCUAACAUUUUCUAAUAAAAACAAUCACAGAAAAGGUGUCCUUAUACUGAACAA